rnacentral:lncRNA from 10 species
UAACAGCGUGCAAUCAGGAGCAAUGGAUCUUGGAGCCCUGAAGUCACGCAGAACAAAUCUACUGUGAGCCCAGUAAUUACUCACUGACAGUAGACAAAUUUCUCCUGGGAUUCUUCAGUCUUCUCACUCUUCUCUGGAUAUACUUUUGUUAACAUCUCCCUUGAAGUCUGGUGCUCAUAACUGAACACUGGGCAUCAGAUGUGGUCUGAUCAGUGCAAAGUAGCACAAGAUGAUCACCUCCUUUGUUCUGAAAGUUGUACUCUUAGUAAUAUGGCCCAAGGUCACAAUACUUUUUACAGCAACCAAACCACACUUUCAACUCAUGAGCUUUCAUUCACUCUAAAAUGCCUCUAAGCCACAUCUCUCACAUCUUACAUUUGUACUGCCACAUUUUGAAGUUCAAAUAAGGGACUUUACCAACUUUGUGUAAUUCGCAAAUUUGAUCUAGUGACAUUAAAACAGAACUAUUUUGUAUGUAGUCAUUCAACCAGUUAAGAAUUCGCCUAGGUUUACCUUUACCCACCCCACAUGUAUACAUGUUUUCCCAAAAGCAUUGAGAGAAUGUUUGGUUGAACUCUAGAUACGCUGUGGGUGAUAACUUUUCCCUCCUCUACCUGUCCAGUCACUCUGUCAAGGGAAAUGAACCCAGUGGGGCAUGAUUUGUUUUUCCUGAAUCCAUGUGGGGACUGAGUGAUCGUCGCUUCCUUUUGUAAGUGCUCACCAACCAUCCUUUUAAUCAUUUGUCCUAGAAUCUUGCCCUCAAUCAAUAUCAAAUGUAUUGAUCUAUAAUUUGUGGAGUUUACCUUUUCCCAUCUGUCAAAGUGGGGCCAUGUUUACCCAUCUCUAGGCUGCAGCACGUAUCUCUUCCCUUCUUCAUGGGGUUUUCAGGGCCACCACCAGUUGUCCUGCAAUUUGAGCUGCAAGUCCUUAAGUGCCCUGGGAUGCUACUGACUCAGACAAUGAGAUGCAGUUACUCAAGGCAGCUUACGGCUCUCUUGAACUAGACUGCCUUCAGGAGUUUCUCUCUGGUGUUCACCUUGUCCUUUCUAGUCUGAAAAUCGUUUUCCUUGCAGAAGAGAAGGAGUGAAAGAGGAGCUGAGGAGGUUUUGUUUUUCCACCAUAAAACUAUUGGCAAAAGAGUUCAGUCAGGGUGUCCAGUUGCUCAAUCAAUAAUUGCCAAACUCUUCUGUUGUGAAGAUCUUCAUGAGCUGCCUUACCAAGCUAAUUUCCCACCAUUUUGGCCCAUCCCCUCAAGCACACCUAGACCUUCUCAUCUCCAUGAUUUGGCUGAGGUUUCCCUCCAAUUUGGAAUGCCCACUACUCUACCCACCCACCCCAAUCCCAUCAUAGCCUUUCUUACAGUUUCUCCAAUCCAUUUAACCUUUACCAUACAAUUGAAGCACAUGCAUUUCAUUCAUUGGAUUGUGGUUCCGUUUUGUCUUCCUGACAGUACACAACCCAAAAUAGGUGUCUUCUAUCCCCCACAGUAUGUAAACUAGCACAAGGCCAAGCCUACAGUCCUGAUAACCAUACUUCAAGCUAUGGAGAUUUCCACAGUGACCAACCUCUGACCCUUCACACACACUACAAAUUCAGAUCAUAUGAUAGCUGUGUCCAACUCCUUAAAGGACUAAAAUAGAAACCAGAUAAAUCUAGGGAUGUGGACUGACCGAAUCUAGGCACUAAUGCUUUUUGCAAUGUUAAAUAAAUCCAAGUAUAUCCUCAGCUUCACUUCAAACAAGGAGCUGGGCAUUUUAGCUGGACCCAGGGCUGGCCAUCAGCAACAGGGCUGAGAACCUGAGGCUACAGGGGCACAGAAUUGACUGUCAAUUAGAUUGAAAUCAUGCCUGUCUUGGAGGUCACCUCUUCCACCUAGACCUUUCAAAGGUGUGAAGACCAAUUGUAAUCUCUCACUGAUGGGUCCCUAAUAGGAUUGGAGCUGGUUUUGCUAUGGCGCCUUGAGUUCUUAGAGGAGAGGCAGUGUCUAAAUCUUCCCAAAAUAGAGAGCACUCCUAACUUGGAGGUACACUCCCCACUAAAGAACAGGAGGCCAGGUAUGGUCUCAAAUAGGAGGCCACGUAAUAUCUCAAAUGGAGCAAUCAAAGGAUGGAACAUAAGAACAAAGACUCUGAAUUGACCUCAAAAGGUCAAUUGGGAGGCCGAGGUGGGAGGAUUGCUUGAGCCCAGGAGUUUGAGACCAGCCUGGGCAACAUGGUGAAACCCCAUCUCUGUUAAAAAAAAAAAAAAAGUCAUAUAAUCUAGCUCUCUGCUUUCAGGAAGAUGAGAAAUACCAGUGCUUCCCUUAGUAGCCAUUCACUCAAUUUGGCAACUGCGAUUGAGAACUCACUAGGUGCUUGUGAUCAUUUCCUAUUCAUAGCAAAGUUAUUCCUUGUAUUUCACUUGAUCUCAUUUUCCCCUCUAUCAUUCUCAAAAGAAACGGAGAACAGGUCAUCAGCUCUGUCCUUAUUUAGGAGUUAAAUUUUGAAGAUGGGUAUAGCACACUUUUCACAUGGUAGGUGCCCUACAACCAUUGAAUGUUACCUCAUCAGCUUUUUCCUUUCUAGAUCUCACACACACACACACACACACACACACACGCAUGCACACACACACAGCACCUAGUCCCGUGGCAUUAUUUAUGCUCUUCUCCAGACCCUCUCUAGCUUUCCACUUUUGCUAAAAAUGUGUUGGCCAAGGGUAGACCCAUCAUGCUUUGAAAGGUAUGACCAAUGGCAGGUAGAGUGGAACGAGUUGAGUGGGACUAUGGCAAGGGUCGUGUAGUGCUGGGUGGCAUUCUAGGUCUGUUUCUAAUACUAACUGUGACGGGCUUUUCUGGGCCCAUUUCCUCAACUAUAAAAUAAAUGGGUUGGACUAGAUGACUCUCGGGUGACUUCUGGUUCUAAAACUCACACUUGGAUGACUUCUCAGAUCCUCCAUGCUGUGUUUUUGUUACUAUAUGCAGGAUCCACAUUAGUUUUGGAAAAAAGAAAGGAAAGAAGGGUGUGAGGAAAGGAGGGGGAAAAACCAGUUUUACACCAUGGACUCACUUGUGAUGUACCCUUACACCAUCUCCCCAGUUCUUCUUCUUUUUAACUAUACUUGUGUCAAGUCAAUCACUGCCCAUCUCCAGUGUACCAUAUUAGUGUAUUAGUUCUAGGUUUUGGUCUUUGUACACACUACCUGUGUUCGUCCUCUCUGAACAUGGUCCUCCUUGUGAUGGUUCAUCUCCCUCAUUUUAUCAGGGUCAUUUGAAGAAUUCUAUUCCUGCUUUCUGAGGUAUCAGCAACCCCACCCAACUAUCAUACUUGCCGAGCACACUCCCAGUUCAGUCUUUCAAGUCACUGAGAAUAAUAUGAAAUCCCAUAAUGCUAACCCUGUGAGGCCCCACUGAAUCCAUGCCCCAGGGUUGAUAGGGAGUCACUGAUCACAAUCCUGUAGAAAAAUCGCUCCCA